GGGAUAGAGAACAGCUCUUUUCAGUUCAUCUGCUUAAAUCAGCAAACAUCUGAAACAUCUUAUUCUCUUUGGUUGCAUUGCUGGGAAGGUGAUUUGCCUGGACCUAUUUGUGUAGGCUCAGACAAAUACCAAUGGCAAUUUUGCAGCAAGGUGGGAGACAACCCUGCUCUGGUAGCACAUAUGCAGACCCAUGAGAAAUCUGUUAAACAUGGUAUAACAUUUAUAAAUGCCACCUAAAACGUGUGAAAAGCAACCACUAUCACUGUUGCUAUUUUCCAUGAGCACAACUAUGGGUCAUGUGUUGUCCACAUUCCAACAACAGAGCCCACCACAGCAUCUUCAGUUCUCAGUCCAUCCACUGGCCUGAGCUUGACUACACCGUCUACCAUUCCAUCAGCUGACAAUACCUCAGCAGUCUCUGACUCCUCUGUAGCUUUCUGCAUAAAAGCUUCCAGUUCCUUGUCUGAUCCCAGUCCCUCCCUGGCCCUCAAGACCUGUACAGAUUCGAAAUCAACAAAAACCCCCAAGUUCUUCAUCUCCCCCCAGCCCUUCAGCAGGACUCAGUGCCUCUGUAGCGCCCGUUGGAUUGUUGGGACCCAGCACCUCAGUGAGCCAGAGUUCCUUUAACAUUGAAGCCCCCUGUGCUCCAACUUCACCUAGCUCCUUGACAGCCCCCAAGACAUGUUGGCCUAUUGAUUGUAAUUUCAAAAGGUACUUUAAUACCUAAAGAUUAGAGUCUUCAUGUGCAUGCUGUAUUUACCGUUUAGAUACUACAAGCAUUGUUUCUCCUGAAUAUUUUUUCCAUUGAGUUCAACAGGAAAAUUAAUCAGGAGAAACACUUCUUGUAGUAUCUACUGCAUAUCUGGCAGCAGCAUGAUGGUUUGAAGCUCAUUUGAUACCUUGGACCCUUGAUGACUUAAAGCCAUUUAGCCAACAAAUGUGUUCCAUACUGUAUCAGCAUAAUUUACAGCUGAAUCUAGUCCCACCCCCCAAUUCCCAUAGAGAUCCAUUCAAAUGCAAAGAGUUUUUCUAUCGCUUGUAGGACAACCUGACAAUAUGAUAUCUGGACUCCGAUGAUGUUGAUAGGUCACAGACAUCAGGAAGUCAUGGCAUGCAAAGGAUAUGCAACCAAAUACAAAACAUGACUCUUUUAUUUGACUGAUUAUGUUAAUUUGUCUAAAACACUGAAAUGGGGGACUACGUAUAAAAAGUGCUGUAAUUACUACAUGGUGAAACCAAAAUGUAUAAGAAUACCCUUUAAUAAAAGCUCUGAGUCUGCACUUUGACCAUGUGUGAAUUGUUUGAUUAUAAAAAGAGAAAAUAAAAUAUUAAAUCAGAAAAAUGCAGGUGGUUUUAAUGUUGUGGCUGAUCGGUGUGUGUAUAUAUAUAU